rnacentral:rRNA from 1 species
GGUUAAGCGACUAAGCGUACACGGUGGAUGCCCUGGCAGUCAGAGGCGAUGAAGGACGUGCUAAUCUGCGAAAAGCGUCGGUAAGGUGAUAUGAACCGUUAUAACCGGCGAUGUCCGAAUGGGGAAACCCAGUGCAAUUCGUUGCACUAUCGUUAACUGAAUACAUAGGUUAACGAGGCGAACCGGGGAACUGAAACAUCUAAGUACCCCGAGGAAAAGAAAUCAACCGAGAUUCCCCAGUAGCGGCGAGCGAACGGGGAGCAGCCCAGAGUCUGAAUCAGCUUGUGUGUUAGUGGAACGGUCUGGAAAGUCCGACGGUACAGGGUGAUAGUCCCGUACACCAAAAUGCACAGGUUGUGAACUCGAAGAGUAGGGCGGGACACGUGGUAUCCUGUCUGAAUAUGGGGGACCAUCCUCCAAGGCUAAAUACUCCUGACUGACCGAUAGUGAACCAGUACCGUGAGGGAAAGGCGAAAAGAACCCCGGCGAGGGAGUGAAAAAGAACCUGAAACCGUGUACGUACAAGCAGUGGGAGCACCUUCGGGUGUGACUGCGUACCUUUGUAUAAUGGGUCAGCGACUUAUAUUCUGUAGCAAGGUUAACCGUAUAGGGAGCCGCAGGGAAACCGAGUCUUAACUGGGCGUUAAGUUGCAGGGUAUAGACCCGAAACCCGGUGAUCUAGCCAUGGGCAGGUUGAAGGUUGGGUAACACUAACUGGAGGACCGAACCGACUAAUGUUGAAAAAUUAGCGGAUGACUUGUGGCUGGGGGUGAAAGGCCAAUCAAACCGGGAGAUAGCUGGUUCUCCCGAAAGCUAUUUAGGUAGCGCCUCGUGAACUCAUCUUCGGGGUAGAGCACUGUUUCGGCUAGGGGUCAUCCCGACUUACCAACCCGAUGCAAACUACGAAUACCGAAGAAUGUUAUCACGGGAGACACACGGCGGGUGCUAACGUCCGUCGUGAAGAGGGAAACAACCCAGACCGCCAGCUAAGGUCCCAAAGUCAUGGUUAAGUGGGAAACGAUGUGGGAAGGCACAGACAGCCAGGAUGUUGGCUUAGAAGCAGCCAUCAUUUAAAGAAAGCGUAAUAGCUCACUGGUCGAGUCGGCCUGCGCGGAAGAUGUAACGGGGCUAAACCAUGCACCGAAGCUGCGGCAGCGACACUAUGUGUUGUUGGGUAGGGAGCGUUCUGUAAGCCUGCGAAGGUGUGCUGUGAGGCAUGCUGGAGGUAUCAGAAGUGCGAAUGCUGACAUAAGUAACGAUAAAGCGGGUGAAAAGCCCGCUCGCCGGAAGACCAAGGGUUCCUGUCCAACGUUAAUCGGGGCAGGGUGAGUCGACCCCUAAGGCGAGGCCGAAAGGCGUAGUCGAUGGGAAACAGGUUAAUAUUCCUGUACUUGGUGUUACUGCGAAGGGGGACGGAGAAGGCUAUGUUAGCCGGGCGACGGUUGUCCCGGUUUAAGCAUGUAGGCUGAUUGUCCAGGCAAAUCCGGAUAAUCAAGGCUGAGGUGUGAUGACGAGGCACUACGGUGCUGAAGUAACAAAUGCCCUGCUUCCAGGAAAAGCCUCUAAGCAUCAGGUAACAUUAAAUCGUACCCCAAACCGACACAGGUGGUCAGGUAGAGAAUACCAAGGCGCUUGAGAGAACUCGGGUGAAGGAACUAGGCAAAAUGGUGCCGUAACUUCGGGAGAAGGCACGCUGGUGUGUAGGUGAAGUCCCUGCGGAUGGAGCUGAGACCAGUCGAAGAUACCAGCUGGCUGCAACUGUUUAUUAAAAACACAGCACUGUGCAAACACGAAAGUGGACGUAUACGGUGUGACGCCUGCCCGGUGCCGGAAGGUUAAUUGAUGGGGUUAUCCGUAAGGAGAAGCUCUUGAUCGAAGCCCCGGUAAACGGCGGCCGUAACUAUAACGGUCCUAAGGUAGCGAAAUUCCUUGUCGGGUAAGUUCCGACCUGCACGAAUGGCGUAAUGAUGGCCAGGCUGUCUCCACCCGAGACUCAGUGAAAUUGAACUCGCUGUGAAGAUGCAGUGUACCCGCGGCAAGACGGAAAGACCCCGUGAACCUUUACUAUAGCUUGACACUGAACAUUGAGCCUUGAUGUGUAGGAUAGGUGGGAGGCUUUGAAGCGUGGACGCCAGUCUGCGUGGAGCCAACCUUGAAAUACCACCCUUUAAUGUUUGAUGUUCUAACGUUGGCCCCUGACCGGGGUUGCGGACAGUGUCUGGUGGGUAGUUUGACUGGGGCGGUCUCCUCCCAAAGCGUAACGGAGGAGCACGAAGGUUAGCUAAUCCUGGUCGGACAUCAGGAGGUUAGUGCAAUGGCAUAAGCUAGCUUGACUGCGAGCGUGACGGCGCGAGCAGGUGCGAAAGCAGGUCAUAGUGAUCCGGUGGUUCUGAAUGGAAGGGCCAUCGCUCAACGGAUAAAAGGUACUCCGGGGAUAACAGGCUGAUACCGCCCAAGAGUUCAUAUCGACGGCGGUGUUUGGCACCUCGAUGUCGGCUCAUCACAUCCUGGGGCUGAAGUAGGUCCCAAGGGUAUGGCUGUUCGCCAUUUAAAGUGGUACGCGAGCUGGGUUUAGAACGUCGUGAGACAGUUCGGUCCCUAUCUGCCGUGGGCGCUGGAGAAUUGAGGGGGCUGCUCCUAGUACGAGAGGACCGGAGUGGACGCAUCACUGGUGUUCGGGUUGUCAUGCCAAUGGCACUGCCCGGUAGCUAAAUGCGGAAGAGAUAAGUGCUGAAAGCAUCUAAGCACGAAACUUGCCCCGAGAUGAGUUCUCCCUGAGACUUUAAGUCUCCUGAAGGAACGUUGAAGACGACGACGUUGAUAGGCCGGGUGUGUAAGCGCAGCGAUGCGUUGAGCUAACCGGUACUAAUGAACCGUGAGGCUUAACCUU